UUAUAUAAAAUCUGGUUGAAGUUAGAAUAAUGUGAACUACGAUUUGGAACAGUUGGGUAAUAAUCUUCUGUUACUGAUGUUCACAUUUUCCUAUUUGAGAAAUUGGACUUUACAGAAAUUCCAAGUUGACCCCGUGUAGGUGUAAACUGUAACCUGGUCACGGGCUCAGGGCCGCGCCCGAACUUCACACGACCGGACCAAUUCGCAUCGGCAUCGAACACCUCUGCCCUCUGUAAGGAGACCCAACCCCACCGCGCGCAUCCAUGCCCCCAACGACGGCGGUGCGUCGGGCUCCCUCGCCGCACGCCGCGGGCGGAGCGAGGCUCACCGCGGAGCAAGCCUCUGGUCCGUGAGAAGCAUGUCUCCGCAGGAGGCACGGCAACGCGAUCGGUAGAUUGCAACGGCGAAGAGGAGGUUAUUGUGCUGUUCCAUAUGGCUGAUUAUGGAAGUUAAUGGUGGUUGAGUGCAAGAAAAGAAGUAUAACUAACACUGUAACGAUCAAGGUAUACAGAAACAGAGCUAUUAGCACUAGUGAUGAAAACAGUCUCAUGAGUCGUGAAAGGUAGCUUCUACCUCCCUCAUCUAUUAUAUGAUUUCCUGGAAGACUGCUAACAGGCGGCAAGCUUCAAAGAUCAUGUUCACAUUGCCGUAUCCUUUCUUAAUCGGCGCUGUCCUUGUAGAUUUACGUGAGGAACGUGGACAUUGAGCUAUAUUAUAGUUGGAAUCUUCAUGUUUAAUCCUUUUACUUAAUCCAACAUGAUGCUAUCUUGUAGAAGGAAGUUCUCAUUAGUGGAUGACAAAUGAUCGCAAGAGUUUCUUGUGGCUGGCGCCACUGUGUGUCCCAGGUUCAGGGUGCUUUUAUGUUUUGUGCAACAGUUUUGGGUUGUAGUUGGUGUUUCUUGGUGCCUAAACAUGGGGCUGUUGUAACAUUUAAACUUUAUUCCUUAUUGAAUGAAUACGCAGAGCUUCUGACUUCCUGCCGUCUAUUUUCGAAGGAAAAAUAUAUUCUUUAUUCUAAAAUCCUUGACAGAUAUAGAUGUAGGUUACAAUUUCUUUCUUUUUAGUAUAUAUCACUGGGAUAUAGUUUGAAUAGUGGUAUUUCACAAUGCUGAUUUCGUAGUACUUUGAGCUAUUCUAGUUACCCAAAUAGUUGUAUUUGUUCAAAAGGUGGACAAAAAGGGUGCUCAUGCAGUCAUGUGACUCACCAUGAUAGAUUUUUUUAGCUUGCUGAGGUGCUAAUUGCUAUGGGGUGUCGAUCCCAUUACCUAUGGAAACACAUAAUCAUGUAUUUAUGUAGCUUCUCGGCAUAAGAUUCUUCCCAUUUGACAUUUUGAACAUUGACUAUAAUUUUUUACGCGGUAACAAUUUUUUAUAUGGCUCAAUGAAUUCAGCAGUUAUGAUCCAAACCUUUUGGGCAUCUUUUUAAAGCAUCUCUGAAAAACCAGCAAGCAGCAGUGGUGCAGAAUUUACUGGACUAAUUAGAGAUAUGACAUUAUUGUGGACAAAGUGUUAUGAAUUUUAAUUUGGGUUACUGGAAUGACAAAAAAAAAUUGCACUCAUUGGAUCAGCUGAAACCUUGUUACAAUAGAUGGUUGAUUUUUCAGAAUAUUUUUUUCCAUUUGAGUUGCUUUGCCUGAUUCUGUAUGUGAUUUUUCUGUCAGUAGGAAAAGCAUUGGUAUAAUACUCUAGCAAAAACAAGGAAGAUUCAGUUAUGCUGCAUAUGUGUUAUCUAUAUUAAUUUUAUGUUGUACAUAGUAUUACUUACUUAGUUAUAAUCUAUUGCUUGCCUUAAACACUAGAGACAGCUGUCAGUUCUUUUUAAAAGUUUGCAUUUGGUGGCCUAAUAAUUGAUCAGCCAACUAAACGACUUUCUGUCUUCAGCUUGAUGGUCACUGCUUGCUGACUGGUUUCAGACUGUUGGGUGCUCCAAGGGCAGCAAUAGGGCUUGUCUAGAAAGUGAGGUACAGACGUAAGGCAACCUCUCAUUCCUGAUCAGGCAGGAAAAGCAUGUCUCUGACCAAACAUAAUCGCUUGGAGUGACUAGCGGAGAGGUAAGGUAAAGCUAUAUGCUCACUCCAGCCGCCAGAGACCAGCACCAAUGUUUCUCUACGAGCUGCCUUUCUGCCGUUCCGCUGGCUCGACCCGAUCUUUCUGGCAUGACACCAGUCACCAGGGGGUUGCUGUCGUUUAAACUCGUCUGGAUGCAAUGUUCACCAAAACGCAAAACCGUAAACAACAAGCUAUACGGCCAUUUAAACGAGCAAUAUGGCCGAUUUAAAAUAAGAACAUAUACUUUUACUAAAUAAAAAUAUACCUUUGCAAAUAUUUCUGAAUUAAUUUGACAUUUUGACUGGCUAUGGUUGAUGUGAUUCUUCUCUUUUGCUUGAUUUGGGUGAUUGAGUGCGCUAAGUUUUUUUUUAAAAAAAAAUAUGUUUAUAUCCAAUCCUUUCCACAAUUUGUUUAGACUUUUCUUGCAUUUUCCUCACUUCUUUUCUAGAGAUUAAUCUAAUUUCUAGAUGCUCUAAAAUCCCUUUGCUUGAUCUCCAAAUACUUAAUUUGGAUUCAUCAUCGAUCAAUCUUAUAUUGAUACUUUUUUCUUGAUUUUUAGAGUUUUAGAAAUAUUUUUGGAGAUUUCAAAUGAUUUUAGCUUUUUCUAGAAUUGUUUUUUGAACUAAAAACAGAUUUUAGAUGAAUAAAAGAUUGAUAAGUACAUAAAUAUUUCUAAGUUCACGAUAGUUCAUAGUUUUUAGGUCAAUGUGUGGUUAUUGCACUCAGUGGACCCUGUUGAUAGCAAUAGUAAGGUCUUGUUCAGUUCUUCCUAUUCGACAUGAAUUUGAUAGGAUUGAAAAAAAAUAUGAAGAACUUUGACUUACUAUGUAUUUAAACUCAUUCAAUCAUGCUCAAUUUAUAUGGAUUGUGAUCGAAACGAGCAUGCCCUAAGUAGGAAUAGGCUUAGGCAAAAUAAACCAAAACCGAAGAACCAAACCUAACUAAUGGAAACCAAAACCAAAGUAAUUGAAACCUAAUUAAUCAUUAGAAAUUUUUGUUCCAUGUUUUAGAAAACCAAAAGAACCGAGAUAAUUUUGGUUCUAGAACUUAGAAGACUGGAUUAAUCGAAAAAAUUGAAAUGUAAUAGAAGCACAAUAGACUAAUAGAAUUUUAGGCAUAUCUCAAUAUAGUUUUCCCAAAUCCUAAGUGUAUAAGCAUACAACCUCUUCAAAUCAAUCCAUCCCUAAUCCUAAUUCUUCAUCCUAUCAUCUACGUACUUUUGCUAAACUCUAAAAUUAUACUGUUUUUCUAUAUUUGCUAAACUUCGGUCUAUUCGGUUAGAAACUAAAACUGAACUAUUCGGUUUCGCCUGUGAAAUGGAAAUGUGCCUUUGGUCCAUUUCUAUAAUGUUUUGAUGAUUAAGUGUCCAACACAUACUAAGUGAGUUAAUUAUGUGCCAAAUAAGCAAGAAGUGCAAAUCAUGUAACAAUGUACAUUUCUAGACUUAGUACAUUGUUUUGUGUACUAACAUAUAUUGUCUAAGUGCUAGAAACAGAGAAAAGAAGAGAAGAAAAGAAUUGCAAAUGACUUGGCUUGGUGCAGCUAAAGUCUAGCUCGGUCUAGUGCACCGGACAGUGUCCGGUGCGCCAGGCCAGCCUCCGGUGAACAGACCACUCUCGGGAAAAAUUCAGCGACGUACGACUAUAAUUCACCGGACUGUCCGGUGGUGCACCGGACUGUCCGGUGGUGCACCGGACUGUCCGGUGAGCCAACGGUCGGCCGCGCAAUCCGCGGGUGACGCGUGGCCCACGCCAACGGUCGACAGGGGGCACCGGACUGUCCGAUGUGCACCGGACAGUGUCCGGUGCGCCAACUACCAUGACUCUGCAACGGUCGUCUACGCCAGAAUAGGAAGGAGAUCGGCACCGGACCGUCCACAGUGAUUGUCCGGUGGCGCACCAGACUGUCCGGUGCGCCACCCGACAGAAGGCAAGGAUAGCCUUUCUUGUUGGCCUCCAACGGCUCCUAGCUAGGGAUGAAAACGGUUUCGGAAUUUUUCGGAAUUCCGGAAAUCGGUUCCGAUUUUUUCCGAUCGGAAUCGUCGGUAUCGGUAUUUCUCGGAAUCAGACUUGGUCAUUGGAAUUUUAGAUCGGAAUCGGUAUCGAAAUCGGUACAGUCCUUUACCGACCGUUUUGUUCGGUUACUGUUUUGGGUCGGAAUUUACCGAAACUCCCAGCCCAAGUUCCAAAUUUACAACUCAUGGGCCAGGCAGCAGCCCACCACAGGCAAGGGCAACAAAUCGGCCCACCACAUCGGCACUGCAGGCGCACACAGAGCAGACCGCACACCACACACAAACACAACACAACUGCCACUUCUCUGCUCAGUGCUCCAAAUCCUGCGGCGACAGUGCGGCACCGCGGCACCCAUUGACGCAUUGCCGGUAAGUAAUCUGCGAGAUCGAAAUCCUAGAGAAGCGUAGUGUCGCUGGUGGUGAAGGAGCCGCCGUGGUCGCCGGUCGGAGAUGCAGAGCGCUGAAGGGACAAGGGAGCAACCUGGGCGCCAUGGAGGGAGCUCGGUUGGCGCGACGUCGUUGGCCGAGGAGGAACCGGAGAUGGUGGCUGGGAGCUCGCGGCAAAGCACCACCGUGCCAGGGGAAGAGAGCGCCAAGCAGUACAAAUAAUGCAAGUUGCGGCCGCUUUUUGGCUCAGUGUUGUAGAUUCCACUUUACUUUUUCCCUAGAAUAUCCCCGUGCUGCUACGCAACUGAUUCUUCUCUUCCAUUUGUCUACCGACUCCACUUGUUUAUAUUAAGGUUUCGAAUUGUGCAUCCCAGCAUGAUUCCACCAUGAGUUGGUGUAGUCUUAUAGCAAGAAAUAUUGUUUAUUUGCAUAAUGAAUAUGACUCAGUUCAGAACUUCAAUUAUAUCACCCAAAAAUACUUGCUCUUUUUUGUUUGUACUCGGGGCAUUUUAUCGGUGAACAAGCGACAUUAGCUCCAGUGAUAUGCUCUAAUGGCUAGUGAUGGUGAAGCUUCACCUCCACGGAAGCGUAUGUUGUUGGAGUUGCCUUGUGACGAAGAAGGUGUUAAUGUGAGUCAAACUGUUGGUGUGUCCCCAUAUUUGUAAACUUUGUUGUAUUAUGAACUUGUUAUAUUGACAUAUUUUCAUAUUGAUAUGGUUACCGAUUGUA